rnacentral:rRNA from 1 species
UACAGAGGUCCCGAGCGUUGUUCGGAUUCAUUGGGCGUAAAGGGUGCGUAGGUGGCGCUGUAAGUGGGGUGUGAAAUCCCGGGGCUUAACUCCGGAACUGCAUUCCAUACUGCGGUGCUUGAGGACUGGAGAGGAGCGCGGAAUUCCCGGUGUAGCGGUGAAAUGCGUAGAGAUCGGGAGGAAGGCCGGUGGCGAAGGCGGCGCUCUGGAACAUUUCUGACGCUGAGGCUCGAAAGCGUGGGGAGCAAACAGG